UUCGCCGCGGGCCCCGGAGGCCUCCUCGGCGCCCCCUUCAUUCCCUUCCCCCGAGCCUCCCUCGGGUCCGUCCUGCCCAGGCGCUUCCGAGUGCCGCUCGCAAGCCCUGCGUCCCCCUCGCCGCCAGUCCCGGGUCCCCAGGCCGUCCCCUCCUGCCCCCGUGCUGCUGGGCGACCUCUCCUCCUCUCUCGCUCGCUCGCGGGCUUGUGAGGUACGUUUGAAUCUGUGUAGAAUCGCCGUGAGUGGCCGUGGUCGUUUCCCCCUCCUGUCACAGGAGGGCACAGCGAGCUGCGCGGAGUCCCGUCUCCGGAGGGUGCCUCUUCCUCCCCGGGUCCCGCUGCCAGAUUCCAAAGGGGCUGUUGCUUUCUCUCUCGGCGGAGUCUACAGGGGCUGGCUCCUCCGCCAGCGGCGUUGUUUGCAUCCGGCAAAUGCACGGAUUCCACGAGUCGACUCCUGCCGACGCGCGCCGCAGACUCGGAGGAGCCUCAGGAACGCAGUGUUGAACAAGACACAGAUGUCUGUUCCUUGAAGUCUGAGUAAUCUCUACACACAGCAUGGGGCUUGAACUCACAACCCUGAGAUCAAGAAUCACGUGCUCUUUUGACUGAGCCAGCCAGGCACAACAAGACAGACAUCUGAGUGCAUAUUUCAUCUGUAAAAUGGGCAUGGAAGAUUAAUCUGGGAUGUAAAAACAAUGUGUGUAGAGUACAGUGCCAGCUACAGGCAAAACACAUCAAUCAGCCAAACAAAAAGACAAGUUAAAAACUGGGAAAACAAAUUUCCAACUUUCAGAAGAUUCCUGUCCUCUGGUUGUGUCCUGCAGGGCAAGGAGGACUUCCUGUUUCAUGGGAUUUGCCAAUCACCAGGGAGUAAAUAUUCCCACCAUAACAGAUUUUAAAUUCGCGAGAUGCACUCAGCUGUACCAAUGUGGCAUCAGCUGGGUCACAGAAUUCCUGAUGAUUUAACAAUCAGCUACUAGCCACCUCUAGCCUCUCACUUCACUAUUUGCAGCCUCUGCCUCGUGGGAAAUUCCCUGCCGCAGAACGAGGUGCAAAGAUCAAGGGCUGAGUCCUAGGCCUAGUUCUGCGGACCUGGUGGAACCUUCCUGGCCUCCGCAGUAAACCGGGAUGGAUGGCAAGUCUCGGAGCGGCGGCUCUCACGAGUUCCCUUCGGGAAAAGCGCCCCGUGCGGAAUGGAGCCCUGCAGCAGGAGAAGUGACCGCUGCUCAGGUGGGGGUUUUGGCUGUGCGGGUUCCGAGCCCAGACUGAGCGAAGGGACAGGGAGCGGUCCAAGUUGAACCGGGAGGAAAGUCAUGCAACCACGGAUGGAGGGAACGUCAAGUAGGAGGAAACCAGGCGGAUCUGAGGCUGCUCCUCGUGCGCUGCAGUUCCUGAGACGCCCAGAAGGAGGUGCUGUUCCUGCAUUCUUCCUGCUCCCGCCCAGCUCUCCGGGAAGCUACAGAAGCCUCUGAGUUGACCGCUCCUCCCACCCCAACUGAGGCCGCAGGUCUAGCCCAGGUCUGCUCUGUGGUCUUCAUCAUUCCAGACCCAGUGGCCAACGAGGUCAUGCCUGGUGAAUUGCAUAAGCACAAAACAGCAAGCCAGAUCUCACGAGCACAUUUAAAGUCUCUGCUUGGAUCCCAGUUUCACUCAUACUGCAUCGACCAGAGCAAGGUGUGGAUGCCAAACAGGGGAAUGCAUUCUGGGCUAGAGGGAGGUGCUGAGAAGUUGCUUAGCAAAGGACAUGGGUGUACAAUUCUAAACUUUUGUUAUUAUUUGAGAGAGACAGACAGACAGAGGGAGUGCUGGGGAUGAGGGGCAGAGGAAGAGGCAGAGAAUCUUAACCAGGCUCCACACUCAAUGAGGAGCCCUACGUGGGACUCAGUCUCACAACUCCAAGAUCAUGACCUGAGCCAAAAUCAAGAGUCAGAGGUUUAACCAACUGAGCCACUCAGGCGCCCCUGGAUGUACAAUUCUAAAACAGAAAGCACAGCAUUGGGAGCAAUGGGGUGCACUGGAACCCCAGUCAGUAAUCUGGUAAUAGAUCAUAACAUCAGUUGAGUCUUACUAUGUGCUAGGCACAUGACAACAACUCUAUGAGGUAGAUACUAUUAUGGUCCUUAUCUUACAGAUGAAACACAGCCAAGGCACAGUGGGAUUAGGGAAGAAUGAAGAUCACAGUAAGUGGCAGGGGAGGGCAAGGAUAAUUGCACGAGUAAGGAACACUGUUCGUGUGCUCUCUCCCUUUUUUGUCUCUCCUAUUCUUCCCCGACCCUCCCCAACACUGCCCCUCGCUCUGUGUGCUUUGUAUUUGGAAAUGAUGCCAUCUGGUCUUCCAGUCCAAACCCUUAGCAUCAUCUUUAGGUCCUCUCACUUGCCCUCCCAACCCCGCCCAGGGUAUGGGUCCUUAGGUUCUACUGUUUGGACACCCUUACCUCUUCCUGUGUCUGCCCCCUUCUCUUCGCCCUGUGCUAGUCCCUCCACACAGAGACCCACCACUUCUUUCCCAGUGUGUCCCCUCCUUUCGUCCUGCACCCAUUGGCAUUGCUGCCAGAGGGCUUUUCCUAUAAUGCACUUCUGGCCUCGUCCUUCUCCUGCUUAUACAGUUUCCGCAUUCCCCAGAGCUUUCAGGAUAAAGUUAGAUUUCAGUACUGCAGGUCUUUCCUUUCUCUUAACCACAUUUGGCUCCAGCUUCCCAAACAACCUGCGUGUGAUCUCAUGCCCUCUUGCCUCUGUGGAUGCCACACCCUCCGUCUAGAUCCUCUGCUCCCCUCUUCACCUUGUCAAAUUCUGUUUGUCUAGAGUCUUACCUUCUGGGAAGCUUUUCCCAGUCUCUGCCCUAGUCUGAUUAGUGUCCCUUCUCUGAGUCCCCAGCAGACUUUGUCUAUACUUUGUGGCAUUUACAGAUUACAGAUUACAUUGUAAAAGUGGAUUGCGCUAUCACUUCUCUAUCAUCAGUUUUUCUCAAAACACGAUUCAUGGAAUCCCUCCUUCAGAAUCACCUGGGAGCCUAAAAUCUAGGCUCCUGGGACCUUAGACCCACAAACUCAGAAUUGUUGCAAGGCAAAGGCUAGGAGUCUCCAUUUGAAAAAUCCCCCAAGGAUUGACUGGGUGGCUCAGUUGGUUACGUGUCUGACUUUGGCUCAGGGUCAUGUUCUCUGGGUCCUGGGAUUGAGCCCCAAGUGGGGCUCCUGGCUCCUGGCUCUGUGGGGAGUCUGUUUGUCCCUCUUCCUCUCCCUCCGCCCCAGCCCCCCGCUUGUUUUCUCUCUCUCUCUCUCUCAAAUAAAGAAACAAUAAACAAACAAACCAAGAUGAUUCUGACUUGUACCAAGUUUGACCACCACACUGGGCAGGAGAGUGGCCGUGCUUUCAUGGGCAUCCACCAGGGCUCUGAAUGAGUGAAAUGAGCUGCACUGGUCCUGGGUGCCAGAAGAUGGCGCUGUGUCAACGCAAAUGCUUUCGUGUGGGGGGGGAGGAGGAAGACGGGAAGUUCUGUUUUACUGGAAUUCAAGCCUCAAAGGCUGCGUAAUUGAAUUUAUUAUUAUUACUUUCCUGUUCCAUUUGCCUACCACCGUCCCACUUGCAUGAAUAAGUUGAUUUUUGAUGGGAUGAGAAGUUGGACAAGCAAAGCAGAGAGAGGCUGGUCACGGAGGAGAUCUGAGCUGGCAGGGUAGAAGGGAAGGAUAUUCCUUAAUCCCCUUAUUUCCAUCCUCAGUGAUGGAAAGCUGCUCCUAGUGAGCUCUGCAUGUUGUGAAAUCACCCAAAGCAUUCAAAAGAAUAUGCCAUUUCAGCAAGAGGGUGGAGCCAUCCUGUAAUUUCUGGUAGUCCUCCCCUGUUUUCUUUAUGGACUGUCACAGACCUGUAUGGUUAACCUUUUAUCCUAAGUAGGUUCCACACCCAGCACAGAGCCCAAUGGGGUCUUGAACUCAGACCCUGAUAUCAAGAUCUGAGCUGAGAUCAAAGGUCAGAUGCUUAACCAGCUAAGCCAUGCAGACGCCCCCAUGGUUAACCUUUUUAAAAUUGCUUCCCUCCCUAUCAAAAGUCUGAAAGCCUGAGUCUUCCUCCUGGGCUGAGUACUUGAUUCUCCAAAGGGACAGGGGCCCCACAGACAGCCCUUCCUCCCUCUUCCAGCCUCCCUCUUGCCCCCCAGUAGCAUCCAUGUGCAAAUAACUGAUAGGACUGGCUUGGGGCCAGGGAAGACUAUCAGGCAAGGCCAGAGCUAGGGCCUGAGCUGUUUUCCUCUGCAGGGAACCAGGGGUGGGGUUUGCUGCAUUUUCAGCUCCAGGCACAGGGGAGGAGAGAGUGGUGAAUGCAAAGGAACAUAGUCUUAAUCUUAUUGGGAAGGCACAAUUAAUUUAUUUUUAAUAUUAAUUUUAUUUUAAGUAGUCUCCACACCCAGUGUGGGGCUUGAACUCAUGAUCCCGAGAUGAAGAGUCGCAUGCUAUACCAAAUGAGCCAGUCAGGUGCCCAGGGAAGGCAUAAUUUAAAGGUAUCACACAAAUUAAGGACAAUGGCUACGAAGUAGGAAUAACUACUGAAUUACAAGCUCUGAACGACCCAGUAUAAACUAGAUGGCAGUGCUUCCAAAGAAUGUGGGGAAAUACAACUCUCCUUUUCCUUUCUUUUCAUUCUUUGAACUGUCAAGUUCAAAAGUCAUUAAGUGGGAGGCCAAGCAAGGCUAGGACUUCAUGGCCUGUUCCUGGUCAUAGCCGCAGGUGAGGGCAUUCCUCCCAGGCCCCCAGCAUGGGUUCGAUGGCCCUCACGAUGAGAGGUUGGCCCACAGCUACCUCUAGAUGGAGUCCGACGCCUGGAGCCUGGGGAGCCCCAAGCAGACGUGUGUCAGGUGACCCGUGUGAAUGUUCCUUGUCUUUGUCUGAUGUCCCCUCCUCCAGCCUGGGGAGAAGGGCUGUUCUGGGCAUGAAGGAGCUGUCCUCUGGACAGGGAACCGAGCCUGCCCCACCUACAGGCAGCACCCAUGAUCUCUGAGCAGACUGAAUACUGGGCAUCAGAGAACAGUCUGCACGUUCUGGGCAGCCUAAAUGCUAAGGCCAGCAGCCCUAGCAAGAAUGUCACCCUCCAGGAAGUUAAGGGAGAGAGCAGCCAGCCAGGAGCAGGUUCUACAGGCCACACAACACGUGUUCCUGCUAGGGAGGCCAAUCUGGUUCAGCCUGUCCAAGGAGGACUGCCCGGAGUGGGGCAGGGAGCCCUCUAGCUGGAAGCUCUGCACCCAUGGGACAGGCUCUGGCCCCUAAGGUUGGGCUGGACAGGAUGGCAGGGCUCAGGCCCAGGAUGGCCGUGACCAGCCUUCUUUGCCUUUCUCUGCUAGUGGCAGGUACAGCACCCCCUAUAGAUCAGAGAGAGGCAGAUCUAUGUUCUCCUGAUUGACAGGAUAUUGUGAGGGGGCAAUGCUUCCUCUCGGAAGGGGUCUCAGCCUUGGAAAGAUGGGAGGGAGGAGUUCCCCUUCUUUCUAUUCCACAGAUAGUCUAAGGUGCCACUGCUGGCUGGGGGAGUCUUCAGAAAAAAUCCUCUUCUCUC